rnacentral:sRNA from 1 species
UCCCAACGUCACUUCGAGCUAAAGGCUUGGGAUGGUGCAGCGGCGUGUCUCGGGUUGGAAUCAUUGCAGCCCCAUUUAUCGCUCAGGUUCUCAUUAAAGAGUCCGCCUACUGGUCGAUCUCUUGCUUUGGUGUGCUAGGACUUCUGGGAGGUCUGGCGACAAUGUUGAUGCCCAUAGAAACAGCCAACAGAGAAAUGAAAUGAAGAAACACAAAAAAACAAAACGAAAACUUGAAUUAAAGAGACGCUUUCGUUUUCUUAUCUUAUCUUAUACAAUCCAGACGUUACUUCAAAAAAAGAAGAUGAUUACGUCCUAAGCGUCAAUUUAAAACGAAUUAAACAUGUUCUACGGAUCUGAUGUUUUUAUUUUUUCAUAAAGACUUAACGCAGUACACAUUACAGAACAGUUGCCUGCUACUCACUUCCCUUUAAAGGACUAACCCACUGCUGACAUCAUGUAAUGGAAUGGGUUAAUC